GAUGAACGCUGGCGGCGUGCCUAAUACAUGCAAGUCGAGCGAAUGGAUUAAGAGCUUGCUCUUAUGAAGUUAGCGGCGGACGGGUGAGUAACACGUGGGUAACCUGCCCAUAAGACUGGGAUAACUCCGGGAAACCGGGGCUAAUACCGGAUAACAUUUUGAACCGCCUGGUUCGAAAUUGAAAGGCGGCUUCGGCUGUCACUUAUGGAUGGCCCCGCGUCGCAUUAGCUAGUUGGGGAGGUAACGGCUCACCAAGGCAACGAUGCGUAGCCGACCUGAGAGGGUGAUCGGCCACACUGGGACUGAGACACGGCCCAGACUCCUACUGGAGGCAGCAGUAGGGAAUCUUCCGCAAUGGACGAAAGUCUGACGGAGCAACGCCGCGUGAGUGAUGAAGGCUUUCGGGUCGUAAAACUCUGUUGUUAGGGAAGAACAAGUGCUAGUUGAAUAAGCUGGCACCUUGACGGUACCUAACCAGAAAGCCACGGCUAACUACGUGCCAGCCGCCGCAGUAA
rnacentral:rRNA from 1 species